UACGUAGGGUGCAAGCGUUAAUCGGAAUUACUGGGCGUAAAGCGUGCGCAGGCGGUUGUGCAAGACCGAUGUGAAAUCCCCGGGCUUAACCUGGGAAUGGCAUUGGUGACUGCACGGCUAGAGUGUGUCAGAGGGGGGGUAGAAUUCCACGUGUAGCAGUGAAAAUGCGUAGAGAUGUGGAGGAAUACCGAUGGCGAAGGCAGCCUCCUGGGCCAACACUGACGCUCAUGCACGAAAGCGUGGGGAGCAAACAGG
rnacentral:rRNA from 1 species